AGCGAACGUUAGCGGCGGGCCUAACACAUGCAAGUCGAGCGAGAAAGUGGCUUCGGCCAUCAGUAAAGCGGCGGACGGGUGAGUAACACGUAGGUAAUCUUCCCUUGAGCGGGGGACAACGUUUCGAAAGGAACGCUAAUACCGCAUACGUUUCCAGGGAUCCUGGUCCUUGGAAGGAAAGCUAGGUCGCAAGAUCCGGCACUCGAGGAGGAGCCUGCGUCGCAUCAGCUAGUGGUGGGGUAACGGCCUACCAAGGCGAAGACGCGUAGCUGGUCUGAGAGGAUGAUCAGCCACACUGGGACUGAGACACGGCCCAGACUCCUACGGGAGGCAGCAGUGGGGAAUAUUGGACAAUGGGCGCAAGCCUGAUCCAGCCACGCCGCGUGAGUGAUGAAGGCCUCGGUCGUAA
rnacentral:rRNA from 1 species